CGAGGGCGAGCGAGCGGCUUGGAGAGCCACGACCAAUCGCUCUCCCGAAAACCUAGCGAAAAAGGACCAAUCCACUCUUUCCUCGAGCCCCACGCACUCCAUGCCGUCCCGCCUCCCUGCUCCUUACCCUCCGCCGCACGGCCUCUGGCGUCGCGGCCUUCUCACUCGCCUGCGGCCGGGUGCGAGAUGCCACCGGCGACAUGGCUGCGUGCGGAGGCGCGACAUGGAUGUGAGCAUCUGACCGAAUCCGGUCGCAGUGCCCGUCCAGCUCGCCGUGGCCAACCCGGCUCGCGUCGGCUGGGGCCGCGCCCCUCCCCUAACGGCGGGGAUGAUGGAGGGAUCUGCCGGCGCCGGCCAGGCUCCCGAUCGACGGGCUCGCCGGGUCGCCGCCCCUCGGGGCCAGCCCGUCACGCCGCGCCGGCUAGGGGACCCCUCGGGGAUGCCGCCCAUGCGGCGGGGACGUCCGGCGGCGGCGCGGGCUGGGGACCGAGCGGCAGGGCCCGUGAUGCGUUCCGGUCGAGGGAUUGGUCGGGCCGGCGCGGGAUCUGAGCCGCCGUCGAUGGAUUUCUCGCAGCUUGGCUACAUGUUGCUUUGGAUCCGAUACGAUCCCCAUCUCUCUCAAGUCCUCCCGCCACGUCUUCUCCUUCGGUGCUAUGAGGUUCCUCCGCUUGCCUAUCUGAUGCGAUCUUGGAGGAAGAAGACGCGAUUUUGAUUUGAUUCGGUUUUGGUUCGUGCGGUCAGGGGCGUGUUUCCGAUUCAAGGUGUCGUGGAUAGUGCACGGGGUGGGGGACUAGGGCAGUGAGUGACAUCCAGCUCCUACUGGUGGAGUCCUAGGGCUGCAUGCCAACAACUGUAUUUCUCCUCCCCUCAACCCUCACGAACUAUAUAUUUUGUUUAUGCAAUUUCAAUGGCUUAGUUUCAUGUGUCAGAUCAUUGUUGCCUGCGUAUUCUUGUCUCCACCACUGAAGACCAAUGGUGACUGCGGGCAGUAUUCAUGCUCUGCUGCAGACUGAUCGUCCUCUUAUAUCAGGCUGAUCGUUAUUGCCCAAUUGGGCAAUGGUUGUCUCCUCUUAUACGAAACGUGAUGCGUGUUGAUCUUCUUAAAUAAUGCCUCUCAUACAUAUACUUCAAAUAUUGGUCAGACAAGAAUAGGAAAGCCUAUAGGUACAAAAUAGAUAGGAAAGCCUCUUUAAUUAUUUCAUUUCUAGGGUUUGAUGUCAAGGAGGUUCCUAUACCAAUGGUGACAGUGGGCAGUAUUCACGCUCUGAUGCAUGAAGCGGGAUUUAAUGAUGUACAAUUUUGGAGCUGUUGGUUUAAUUGUUCAAAUGGGAGCUUCAUAGGGGCAUGCUCUCAAUUCCAUUACCUUUCUAGAUUGUUGUUUCGUGGUUGACGCAAUACUCAGUUUAGUGGUUUCCUUUUGUUUUUGCUGCAAAGAGUGGAUGUUUUAGAAUGGUGCAGACAGGUUGAGCAGCAGUAGAUGUUUUUUAAGUCCUAGAUUGUUACUACCGAGAAUGGAACUCGAGAAGAGGUACUUUUGGUGUUGUCCUAUUACCUCCCGUAUCUAAUAGAUGACACAAAGUUAUCAGUUUAGUUGGCAAGAGAAAAAGUCCACAUCAAUUGUGAGGAUAUGAUGAUUGGCAUACCUACCCCCUGUGUAUGCCUCACUU